rfam:Camelus ferus unplaced genomic scaffold scaffold593, whole genome shotgun sequence.
GAGGGUAUAGCUCAGUGGUAGAAUGCAUGUCUAGCAUGCAUGAGGUCCUGAAUUCAAUCCCCAAUACCUCCA